rnacentral:rRNA from 1 species
AAAGUAGACGGCGUGAUUCUAGCAAGUGUCCAACGAACGCUCUCGCGCUCGUCUCUGACGGGUGCGUUUGCGAUCUGGAGAGUCCGCCGAUCCUGCGUAAUUACUCGAGACGGCGCUUCACGCUUCCCUYUUAGCGGCAUUCGCGUAUUUCAUUCGUCGGGAGCUUCGGCRAACGACGGGUGGGUGCGUGGGUCCCUAUUAGCGCGUCGCGAGUCGAUUGCCUAUCGAGUAUAUGCGUAGGAAGUUUUCUUCUUAGAGGUAUUGACGACUCACGUUCAAAGUCGUAAGAGACAAAGAGCAAUAACAGGUCUGUGAUGCCCUUAGAUGUCCUGGGCCGCACGCGAGCUACAAUGCCGGGUACAACGGGUAUCUUUUCCUUCUCCGAAAGGAGUGGGUAACCCUUUGAACACCCUUCUUAUAUCGACGAUCGACGUUGCCGGGUUCGCGCUCGGUACGCGUUCGUAUCGUCUGGCUCGC